CCUACGGGAGGCUGCAGUGAGGAAUAUUGGUCAAUGGACGAGAGUCUGAACCAGCCAAGUAGCGUGAAGGAUGACUGCCCUAUGGGUUGUAAACUUCUUUUAUAUGGGAAUAAAACGUUCCACGUGUGGGAUUUUGUAUGUACCAUAUGAAUACGGAUCGGCUAACUCCGUGCCAGCAGCCGCGGUAAUACGGAGGAUCCGAGCGUUAUCCGGAUUUAUUGGGUUUAAAGGGAGCGUAGGUGGAUUGUUAAGUCAGUUGUGAAAGUUUGCGGCUCAACCGUAAAAUUGCAGUUGAAACUGGCAGUCUUGAGUACAGUAGAGGUGGGCGGAAUUCGUGGUGUAGCGGUGAAAUGCUUAGAUAUCACGAAGAACUCCGAUUGCGAAGGCAGUUCACUGGACUGCAACUGACACUGAGGCUCGAAAGUGUGGGUAUCAAACAGGAUUAGAUACCCUGGUAGUC
rnacentral:rRNA from 1 species